CCACACGACCGUACCGCAAACCGACACUGGUGCGCGAGAUGAGUAUUCUAAGGCGCUUGAGAGAACUCAGGAGAAGGAACUCGGCAAAUUGACACCGUAACUUCGGAAGAAGGUGUGCCCUAGUAUUGUGAAGUGAACAACGGAGCAAGAAAGGGUUGCAAAAAAUCGGUGGCUGCGACUGUUUAUUAAGAACACAGCACUCUGCAAACACGAAAGUGGACGUAUAGGGUGUGACGCCUGCCCGGUGCUGGAAGAUUAAAUGAUGGGGUGCAAGCUCUUGAUUGAAGUCCCAGUAAACGGCGGCCGUAACAAUAACGGUCCUAAGGUAGCGAAAUUCCUUGUCGGGUAAGUUCCGACCUGCACGAAUGGCGUAACGAUGGCCACACUGUCUCCUCCUGAGACUCAGCGAAGUUGAAAUGUUUGUGAUGAUGCAAUCUCCCCGCGGAAAGACGGAAAGACCCCAUGAACCUUUACUGUAGCUUUGUAUUGGACUUUGAACAGAUCUGUGUAGGAUAGGUGGGAGGCUUUGAAGCAGGGUCGCUAGAUCUUGUGGAGCCAACGUUGAAAUACCACCCUGGUGUGUUUGAGGUUCUAACCUAGGUCCAUUAUCUGGAUCGGGGACAGUGCAUGGUAGGCAGUUUGACUGGGGCGGUCUCCUCCCAAAGCGUAACGGAGGAGUUCGAAGGUACGCUAGUUACGGUCGGACAUCGUGACGAUAGUGCAAUGGCAUAAGCGUGCUUAACUGCGAGACUGACAGGUCGAGCAGAUGCGAAAGCAGGACAUAGUGAUCCGGUGGUUCUGUAUGGAAGGGCCAUCGCUCAACGGAUAAAAGGUACUCUGGGGAUAACAGGCUGAUACCGCCCAAGAGUUCAUAUCGACGGCGGUGUUUGGCACCUCGAUGUCGGCUCAUCUCAUCCUGGGGCUGUAGCCGGUCCCAAGGGUAUGGCUGUUCGCCAUUUAAAGAGGUACGUGAGCUGGGUUUAAAACGUCGUGAGACAGUUUGGUCCCUAUCUUCCGUGGGCGCUGCAGAUUUGAGGAAGCCUGCUCCUAGUACGAGAGGACCGGAGUGGACACACCUCUGGUGUAUCGGUUGUCACGCCAGUGGCAUUGCCGAGUAGCUAUGUGUGGAAGAGAUAACCGCUGAAAGCAUCUAAGCGGGAAACUCGUUUCAAGAUGAGAUCUGCCGGGGCCUUGAGCCCCCUAAAGAGUCGUUCAAGACCAGGACGUUGAUAGGUCAGGUGUGGAA
rnacentral:rRNA from 1 species